GCACUAUGUAUACAAGGGGCAUAACCACUCAGCAAAUUGUACUUACGGAUUUCGGAUGUGAUUGUGGAAUGUGUUUUAGUUUCAAACAUUUGUUAUGAUUUAUGAGAAUUUGGUGUCGCAAAAACUGGUGAACAGUGCCAGAAGAAGUACCAAAAUUCCAAGGCUCGGUCUUCUUCAUAUGCUUAACAAAGCAGUGAGCGUGCCACAACAGCCAGCAGUGAAGAACAUAUGAGUGUACCAGUCAUGAAAGUAGAGGCAUGAAGUGGAAAGAAUCGCUCACAAAGAAGACCGACAAGAGAUCACAAGCCGAUACCUUAACAAAACUUACAGAGAAACCGAUGGGAAAUAACUAAGAAAAAUUAGAAUAAGAAAUACAAAAGUUGACUGUAGAAAUUGAAAUAAUACAUUUGGAGAAAAAGAUGUGUUUAGUGUCAAUACGUGACCAAGUGCUAUAACUCUGACAUGUAAUAUACUAGUAGUAGAUUUAUUCCCCUUUUUGUAAUUAAAAGGAUCUUAUUAUUUUUUGUGCAACUACUUCAUAACUCUAUUAUUUCUAAAAUAGAUAGUCUAUAUUAGAAAUAAUAGAGUUAUGGAGCAGUUGCACACAAAAUAAUAUAAAAAAAAAAUAAUUCAAAAAGGGGCAUACUAAUAUUUCUAUGAUAAAAAUAUGAUUCUAUCCCUUUUUGUACUUAUAAAAUUCCAGUCAAUAUUUGUGUGCUUUAAGAAAUGUAGGUUAAAUAUUACAUUGGUCAUUGUUUUAUGUUACUGACAGAUAAAAUACAUUCUACAUUCAAAGAGGAAUAUUAGUUGAAUGCGGUGUCUUGGGACACUUCUUGAUAUUAUUUGCUUACAAGAUAUACAUCAUUAAUAAUAAUAAAAUUCUUCAUUCAAUGAACUGAAUGAAAUUCCAGAAUAAUGGUAGAUACAGUAAUGUGAAUUUGAAAUUAGACAUCAACAAAUCCUGGCAUCAUGCUUUCGCCCUGGCCAACUGGCAGUGAACUUGAGUGAAGCUCGUUAUUCUGUAGCUGGCAUCAUACACAGCCUGUUAACAUAAAACAUGUUAUAUUACACUAACAAAAUAAGACAUAUUUUUGUACAUUUUUUCUUAAGUAUUUGAUAAAAUGCUGAUAAAAUGUUUCCUAUUUUGCUAAUGACAAACUGUUAAAAUAAACAUACAGUUGUUUCAUUAAA